rnacentral:SRP_RNA from 1 species
GCUGAGCAUGCUAAUGUGCACCUGUAGUCCCAGCUAUGCAGGAGGCUAAGAUGGGAGGAUUCCUUGAGCCCAGGAGUUCUGGGAUGUAGUCCGCUAUGCCAUUGAUGAGGUGUCCAUACUAAGUUCAGCAUCAAUAUGGUGACUUCCAGGCAGCAAGGGACUACCAAGUUGCCUAAGGAGGGGUAACCCAGCCCAGUUGGAAAAGAACAGAUCAAAACACCUGUGCUGAUUAGUAGAGGGAUCUCACCUGUGAAUAGCCACUGUACUCCAGCCUGGGCACAUAGAGACUUCAUCUCUU